rnacentral:rRNA from 1 species
UUUAUGGAGAGUUUGAUCCUGGCUCAGGAUGAACGCUGGCGGCGUGCCUAAUACAUGCAAGUCGAGCGAACGGACGAGAAGCUUGCUUCUCUGAUGUUAGCGGCGGACGGGUGAGUAACACGUGGAUAACCUACCUAUAAGACUGGGAUAACUUCGGGAAACCGGAGCUAAUACCGGAUAAUAUUUUGAACCGCAUGGUUCAAAAGUGAAAGACGGUCUUGCUGUCACUUAUAGAUGGAUCCGCGCUGCAUUAGCUAGUUGGUAAGGUAACGGCUUACCAAGGCAACGAUGCAUAGCCGACCUGAGAGGGUGAUCGGCCACACUGGAACUGAGACACGGUCCAGACUCCUACGGGAGGCAGCAGUAGGGAAUCUUCCGCAAUGGGCGAAAGCCUGACGGAGCAACGCCGCGUGAGUGAUGAAGGUCUUCGGAUCGUAAAACUCUGUUAUUAGGGAAGAACAUAUGUGUAAGUAACUGUGCACAUCUUGACGGUACCUAAUCAGAAAGCCACGGCUAACUACGUGCCAGCAGCCGCGGUAAUACGUAGGUGGCAAGCGUUAUCCGGAAUUAUUGGGCGUAAAGCGCGCGUAGGCGGUUUUUUAAGUCUGAUGUGAAAGCCCACGGCUCAACCGUGGAGGGUCAUUGGAAACUGGAAAACUUGAGUGCAGAAGAGGAAAGUGGAAUUCCAUGUGUAGCGGUGAAAUGCGCAGAGAUAUGGAGGAACACCAGUGGCGAAGGCGACUUUCUGGUCUGUAACUGACGCUGAUGUGCGAAAGCGUGGGGAUCAAACAGGAUUAGAUACCCUGGUAGUCCACGCCGUAAACGAUGAGUGCUAAGUGUUAGGGGGUUUCCGCCCCUUAGUGCUGCAGCUAACGCAUUAAGCACUCCGCCUGGGGAGUACGACCGCAAGGUUGAAACUCAAAGGAAUUGACGGGGACCCGCACAAGCGGUGGAGCAUGUGGUUUAAUUCGAAGCAACGCGAAGAACCUUACCAAAUCUUGACAUCCUUUGACAACUCUAGAGAUAGAGCCUUCCCCUUCGGGGGACAAAGUGACAGGUGGUGCAUGGUUGUCGUCAGCUCGUGUCGUGAGAUGUUGGGUUAAGUCCCGCAACGAGCGCAACCCUUAAGCUUAGUUGCCAUCAUUAAGUUGGGCACUCUAAGUUGACUGCCGGUGACAAACCGGAGGAAGGUGGGGAUGACGUCAAAUCAUCAUGCCCCUUAUGAUUUGGGCUACACACGUGCUACAAUGGACAAUACAAAGGGCAGCGAAACCGCGAGGUCAAGCAAAUCCCAUAAAGUUGUUCUCAGUUCGGAUUGUAGUCUGCAACUCGACUACAUGAAGCUGGAAUCGCUAGUAAUCGUAGAUCAGCAUGCUACGGUGAAUACGUUCCCGGGUCUUGUACACACCGCCCGUCACACCACGAGAGUUUGUAACACCCGAAGCCGGUGGAGUAACCUUUUAGGAGCUAGCCGUCGAAGGUGGGACAAAUGAUUGGGGUGAAGUCGUAACAAGGUAGCCGUAUCGGAAGGUGCGGCUG